rnacentral:rRNA from 1 species
UACGUAGGGUGCAAGCGUUGUCCGGAAUUAUUGGGCGUAAAGAGCUCGUAGGCGGCUCGUCGCGUCGGCUGUGAAAACCUGGGGCUCAACCCCGGGCCUGCAGCCGAUACGGGCGAGCUAGAAUUCGGUAGGGGAGACUGGAAUUCCUGGUGUAGCGGUGGAAAUGACGCAGAUAUCAGGAGGAACACCGGUGGCGAAGGCGGGUCUCUGGGCCGAUAUUGACGCUGAGGAGCGAAAGCGUGGGGAGCGAACAGG